UGAGGAAUAUUGGUCAAUGGGCGAGAGCCUGAACCAGCCAAGUCGCGUGAAGGAAGACUGCCCGCAAGGGUUGUAAACUUCUUUUGUAUGGGAUUAAAGUCGUCUACGUGUAGACGUUUGCAGUUACCAUACGAAUAAGCAUCGGCUAACUCCGUGCCAGCAGCCGCGGUAAUACGGAGGAUGCGAGCGUUAUCCGGAAUUAUUGGGUUUAAAGGGCAUCUAGGCGGUAAGACAAGUUGAAGGUGAAAACCUGUGGCUCAACCAUAGGCUUGCCUACAAAACUGUUGAACUAGAGUACUGGAAAGGUGGGUGGAACUACACGAGUAGAGGUGAAAUUCGUAGAUAUGUGUAGGAAUGCCGAUGAUGAAGAUAACUCACUGGACAGAAACUGACGCUGAAGUGCGAAAGCUAGGGGAGCAAACAGG
rnacentral:rRNA from 1 species